rnacentral:rRNA from 1 species
CCUUACCAAAUCUUGACAUCCUUUGACAACUCUAGAGAUAGAGCYUUCGCCUUCGGGGGACAAAGUGACAGGUGGUGCAUGGUUGUCGUCAGCUCGUGUCGUGAGAUGUUGGGUUAAGUCCCGCAACGAGCGCAACCCUUAAGCUUAGUUGCCAUCAUUAAGUUGGGCACUCUUAGUUGACUGCCGGUGACAAACCGGAGCAAGGUGCGGAUGACGUCUAAUCAUCAUGCCCCUUAUGAUUUGGGCUACACACGUGCUACAAUGGACAAUACAAAGGGCAGCGAAACCGCGAGGUCAAGCAAAUCCCAUAAAGUUGUUCUCAGUUCGGAUUGUAGUCUGCAACUCGACUACAUGAAGCUGGAAUCGCUAGUAAUCGUAGAUCAGCAUGCUACGGUGAAUACGUUCCCGGGUCUUGUACACACCGCCC